rnacentral:rRNA from 1 species
AUUGAACGCUGGCGGCAGGCCUAACACAUGCAAGUCGAACGAGUGGCGGACGGGUGAGUAAUGUCUGGGAAACUGCCCGAUGGCGGGGGAUAACUACUGGAAACGGUAGCUAAUACCGCAUACCAUCGGAUGUGCCCAGAUGGGAUUAGCUAGUAGGUGGGGGAAAGGCUAACCUAGGCGACGAUCCCUAGCUGGUCUGAGAGGAUGACCAGCCCAACUGGAACUGGGAAACGGUCCAGACUCCUACGGGAGGGAGCAUUGGGGAAUAUUGGAAAAUGGGCGCAAGCCUGAUGCAGCCAAGCCGGGGGGAUGAAAAAGGCCUUCGGGUUGGAAAGUACUUUCAGCGGGGAGGAGGUAACCGCAGAAGAAGCACCGGCUAACUCCGUGCCAGCCGCCGCGGUAAUUC